rnacentral:rRNA from 1 species
CCUACGGGUGGCAGCAGUGAGGAAUAUUGGUCAAUGGGCGCGCGCCUGAACCAGCCAAGUAGCGUGAAGGAUGACUGCCCUACGGGUUGUAAACUUCUUUUAUAAAGGAAUAAAGUGAGGCACGUGUGCCUUUUUGUAUGUACUUUAUGAAUAAGGAUCGGCUAACUCCGUGCCCGCCGCCGCGGUAAUACGGAGGAUCCGGGCGUUAUUCGGAUUUAUUGGGUUUAAAGGGAGCGUAGAUGGGUUGUUAAGUCAGUUGUGAAAGUUUGCGGCUCAACCGUAAAAUUGCAGUUGAUACUGGCAGUCUUGAGUGCAGUGGAGGUAGGCGGAAUGCGUGGUGUAGCGGUGAAAUGCUUAGAUAUCACGAAGAACUCCGAUUGCGAAGGCAGCAUACUAAACUGCCACUGACAUUGAUGCUCGAAAGUGUGGGUAUCGAACAGGAUUAGAUACCCGAGUAGUC